rnacentral:rRNA from 1 species
ACGAUCUAAGGAUGAAAGUGGGGGAUUCGCAAGAACCUCAUGCUCCUGGAGCGGCCGAUAUCUGAUUAGCUAGUUGGUGGGGUAAAGGCCUACCAAGGCAUCGAUCAGUAGCUGGUCUGAGAGGACGACCAGCCACACUGGAACUGAGACACGGUCCAGACUCCUACGGGAGGCAGCAGUGGGGAAUUUUGGACAAUGGGCGAAAGCCUGAUCCAGCAAUGCCGCGUGAGUGAAGAAGGCCUUCGGGUUGUAAAGCUCUUUUGUCAGGGAAGAAACGGUGAGAGCUAAUAUCUCUUGCUAAUGACGGUACCUGAAGAAUAAGCACCGGCUAACUACGUGCCAGCAGCCGCGGUAAUACGUAGGGUGCAAGCGUUAAUCGGAAUUACUGGGCGUAAAGCGUGCGCAGGCGGUUUUGUAAGUCUGUCGUGAAAUCCCCGGGCUCAACCUGGGAAUUGCGAUGGAGACUGCAAGGCUAGAAUCUGGCAGAGGGGGGUAGAAUUCCACGUGUAGCAGUGAAAUGCGUAGAGAUGUGGAGGAACACCGAUGGCGAAGGCAGCCCCCUGGGUCAAGAUUGACGCUCAUGCACGAAAGCGUGGGGAGCAAACAGGAUUAGAUACCCUGGUAGUCCACGCCCUAAACGAUGUCUACUAGUUGUCGGGUUUUAAUUAACUUGGUAACGC